rnacentral:rRNA from 1 species
GACAGAGGUCCCGAGCGUUAGGCGGAAUCACUGGGCUUAAAGCGUGUGUAGGCGGAUGCCUAAGUACCUUGUGAAAUCCCACGGCUUAACCGUGGAACUGCUUGGUAUACUGGGUGUCUUGAGCUACCUAGGGGCGAGCGGAACAAACGGUGGAGCGGUGAAAUGCGUAGAUAUCGUUUGGAACGCCAAUGGUGAAAACAGCUCGCUGGGGGUAGUGGCUGACGCUGAGAGACGAAA